GAUGAACGCUAGCGGCAGGCUUAACACAUGCAAGUCGCGGGGCAGCGGGGGAUGAGCUUGCUCAUCCCGCCGGCGACCGGCGCACGGGUGAGUAACACGUAUGCAACCUGCCCCUGUCAGGGGGACAACCCACCGAAAGGUGGGCUAAACCCGCGUACAUCCGGAGGGGGCAUCCCCUUGGGAGGAAAGGAGCGAUCCGGACAGGGAUGGGCAUGCGGCGCAUUAGCUAGACGGCGGGGUAACGGCCCACCGUGGCGACGAUGCGUAGGGGUUCUGAGAGGAAGGUCCCCCACACUGGUACUGAGACACGGACCAG
rnacentral:rRNA from 1 species